CCUUCCCUGGCUCAGCUGGUAAAGAAUCUGCCUGCAGUGCAGGAGACCGGGGUUCGAUCCCUGGGUUGGGA
rnacentral:tRNA from 1 species